AGAGCCUGCAUGGUUAAGGGCUUGGAAGCAUUUCACAGUAAGGUCUACACCUCUUGUUUUCGGCGCAUGUGACAAAUACAACUUGAUUUGAUUUGAUCAUAGAGGUUAAAGAGAAAUACUGAGGAUUCAGAAACACCAUUUCCCCAUGUAACCUCAGUCCCCAUGUAACCCAGGUCCCCAUGUAACCCAGGACUCCAUGUAACCCAGGUCUCCAUGUAACCCAGGACUCCAUGUAACCCCAGGACUCCAUGUAACCCAGGACUCCAUGUAACCCAGGUCCCCAUGUAACCCACGCCCCCAUGUAACCCAUUUCCCCAUGUAACCCAGGACUCCAUGUAACCCAGGUCCCCAUGUAACCCAGGUCUCCAUGUAACCCCAGUCACCAUGUAUUUCCCCAUGUAACCCAGGUCCCCAUGUAACCCAGGACUCCAUGUAACCCCAGUCACCAUCUAUUUCCCCAUGUAACCCAGGUCCCCAUGUAACCCAGGUCUCCAUGUAACCCCAGUCACCAUAUAUUUCCCCAUGUAACCCAGGUCUCCAUGUAACCCCGGUCCUGAGGAGAAGGGAAUGGCAGGCUGAAUACCACUACCCAAAACACACACACACACAGAGAGAGAGAGAACACCAAGGUCAUCCCUAGCUCACAUUCUCUGCUCUGGUCAACGAUUGUAUUCAGGUUGUCGUGGAGACCCCAGCGCCACGGACACCAAACACUUUGUUUGCAGAGGUCAGAAGAACCCAAAUCACCCCUUUCACAGUUCCCUCUACUAUGGGUCUAACAGGGGAGUGGACAUUCACACAGUCCCCUCUACUAUGGGUCUAACAGGGUAGUGGACAUUCACACUGUCCCCUCUACUAUGGGUCUAACAGGGGAGAGGACAUUCACACAGUCCCUCUACUAUGGGGUCUAACAGGGGAGUGGACAUUCACACAGUCCCCUCUACUAUGGGGUCUAACAGGGGAGUGGACAUUCACACAGUCCCCUCUACUAUGGGUCUAACAGGGGAGUGGACAUUCACACAGUCCCCUCUACUAUGGGUCUAACAGGGUAGUGGACAUUCACACAGUCCCUCUACUAUGAGUCUAACAGGGGAGAGGACAUUCACACAGUCCCCUCUACUAUGGGUCUAACAGGGGAGAGGACAUUCACACAGUCCC
rnacentral:lncRNA from 1 species